CAUACAUACGGACCAGGACUGUGUGGAACUGAGGCUGGUGCCUGGGGAUAUACUGUCCUUUAACAACAGAACAAUUUUACAUGCCAGGAAAUCUUUUGCACUUAACGGAGGGGAGCGCAAACUCCAGGGUUGUUAUCUCAACAUUGACGAGUACAAAUCCAAAUUGGCUGUUCUCACCCAUCGCCAAGGCGAUGCACAAGCUGUGAAGCAUGUUGGGAAUCAAUGCUGGUUCUAGAUGAGGCUGCUGAUGCAUGAUGGCAAUCAGUACCGUUUCUGUAUGAGGUCCCUGGAACAUUACAAACCCGAUAUAAGCUGUGCGCCGACUUGUUCUGUAUGAGUUCCCAGAAAUAUAACAUAAAACUAACCUAGUUCUGGGCAUCAAACCCGGUGUAGGCUGUGAGCCGACUUGUUCUGUAUGAGGUCCCUGGGAUAUUACAUAAAACUAACCUAGUCCUAGGUAUCAAACCUUGUGUAGGCUGUGAGCCGACUUGUUCUGUAUGAGGUCCCUGGGAUAUUACAUAAAACUUAUCUAGUUCUGGGUAUCAAACCUGGUGUAAGCUAAGAGACGACGUGUUCUGUAUGAGGUCCCUGGGAUAUUACAUAAAACUUACCUAGUCCUAGGUAUCAAACCCCGGUGUAAGCUGUGAGCCGACUUGUUCUGUAUGA